rnacentral:misc_RNA from 1 species
AAGAUUUUUUUUUCAGUUUUUACAAUAAAUAUCAGAUUCCUGGAGUAAUAGGUUGUAUUGAUGGAAGUCACUUUAAAAUUGUUAAGCCCAAAGCUGAAAUUGAGCAUCUAUAUUAUUGCAGGAAACAUUAUCACUCUUUGAAUGUACAGAUAGUGUGCGAUAUGAACUGUAAAAUACUUGCUAUCAAUGCAAAGUUCGGUGGUGCUACCCAUGAUGCCUUCAUUUGGGAAAAUAGUGAUAUAAAUGAUUAUAUGAAAUAUUUAUACCGGAG